GCAGGCCUAACACAUGCAAGUCGAGCGAAGACUUCGGUCUUAGCGGCGGACGGGUGAGUAACGCGUGGGAACGUGCCCUUCACUACGGAAUAGUCCCGGGAAACUGGGUUUAAUACCGUAUACGCCCUUCGGGGGAAAGAAUUUCGGUGAAGGAUCGGCCCGCGUCUGAUUAGGUAGUUGGUGGGGUAAUGGCCUACCAAGCCUACGAUCAGUAGCUGGUUUGAGAGGAUGAUCAGCCACACUGCGACUGAGACACGGCCCAGACUCCUACGGGAGGCAGCAGUGGGGAAUCUUAGACAAUGGGGGAAACCCUGAUCUAGCCAUGCCGCGUGAGUGACGAAGGCCCUAGGGUCGUAAAGCUCUUUCACCCGUGAACAUCCUGACGGUAGCGGGAGAAGAAACCCCGGCUAACUCCGUGCCAGCAGCCGCGGUACUACGGCCGGGGUUAGCGUUGUUCGCAAUUACCUGGGCGUCAAGCGCCGCGUACGCGGGCUGUAAACUCCGCGCUGAAAUCCCGGGGCUCAACCCCGGAACUGCCUCCGAUACUGG
rnacentral:rRNA from 1 species